CAUCACUGUGGCGGUAAUGGUCAUUUGCUUUGGUGCCAAUUGCCGUGAAACUACAAAUAAGACGACUAAGUACCAGUACCAGUACCAAUUCCAGUACCAGUACCAAGCAUCCAACAGUCAAUAGUCAUGGACUCAAGUAUAAUAAACCUUGCAAUUCUUAAUGAGAUGGCAGGUGGGAACGAAGGAGCGCUCAGUCUCCCUCUGUGCAAUGCUCAGAAAAUUCAGCUGCAGGCGAUAAAUGUCGCCUUGAUGGAGGAAAAUGAAGAGGUCAUCGCAGAGCUGAUAAGGCACCAGGAAGAAAAACAGAUGCUCCAGGGCAACAUAAUAAAGCUCAGGGAUGACCUGGAAGCAUUGGAGUGUACCACGGAAAAGGAUGAGUUAACGCUGACGGAAAUCAAUGCAAUCGUUGAUCAGAAUAAGUCGCAGUUGAAAUGUCUUGAGGAAACCGUUGAAAAGUACACCAACAUCAUUGAGGAUCUUGAACUGAUGAACCAGGAGCAGGAGAGACAGUUAGAGGAAGGACUGCAGAGGACCUCUUUUGAUGCUUUUAAUGAGUCGACAGGUGAGAACAAAGGAGCUCUCAUUCGCCCUCUGUCCAAUGCUCAGGGAAUUCAGCUGCAGGCGAAUGAAGCCACCCUGAUGGAGGAAAAUCAGAAGCUCAGUGCAGAGUUUCAGCUGAAAAGGCUCCAGGAAGAAAAAGAGAAGAACCAGGAGGAGAUAAUAAAGCUCAGGGAUGGCGUGGAAGCAUAUGAGUGUUACGUGAAACAGCUUGAGUUAAAGCUGAAGGAAAAGGAUGAGAUCAUUGAUCAGCAAAAGUCGCAGUUGAAAUGUCUUGAGGAAACCGUUGGAAAGGACACCAACAUCAUUGAGAAGGAAACUGAACCUGAGACAAAGCCUACCGGUGUCACCACUGAACUGACAGUACAUCAGCACAACCAAUGGUAUAUCCGUUUUCACUCUUACAUCCAGUUUUUUACUCUAAAGUUUUACUUGUUAAAAAAAAAAAAAUCAUCUUUCAAUAUGUUCCAUACUUUCCUCAGCGCUGAUCAAAGCUAUGCAGACAAGGAAGAAUAUUAUUAUGGUUGGAGCUGGACCCUUUUUCUGAUCACGCUUUUCCUCAUCUAUCUUAUACUUGUGAAAUUUGCGGCUCCAGGACAUUCCUUCUGGAUUUUUUUCAGCGACUUCUUCCUGAUGUUGCAACCACACGUCAGCCUCACCUACCAAACCAUACCUCCUAUAUGAAAGAGAGCAGGGAGGAGCGAUUCAAGGUAGAGAAAUGGAAGGAUGGGGAAGAGUUGAUUACUGUAAAAUGAGAUGUGAAGUUGUAGGCGUGAGGCUUAACUAUAAUGGUGGUGGUUGUGGGCAGAGGGAAGGAGUGAGUGGUGAUACCUGAAACAGGUAUUUGGGAUCAACGUGUCUAAAGUUAAGCCCACUACAAGUUUUAUCCCACAUUCCAAGGUAUGCUAGUGCAUCGUAGACUGACGUAAGUGCAAGAAACUGCCACUGUAAACUCAAGCGCUGCCCCGGACUCGAGGACGCAGCCAGAAUAGCAGAAAGAGCGGGGGCCAGCAAGCCCAGGCAACCCCCCCCAGCCGAGCAACGCCCCCAAGACACCAAGCCGAGAGGCAGCCAUCGCCCCCCACAUACACACCCGAGAAAGCACCUAGAAGCCGAGGAGCCAGCACACUCCGCCACCGCCCCCAACCCCCAACCCCAAGGCCCCCCACCGACACCCACCCCCGCCCGAGAUCCCAGCAGAGGGGCCAAGGCCCACGCCCAGCAGACGGCCAGAGCGGCGACAAACGGGCAGCCGGCAGGCACCCGCCAGUGGGCCCAGAGCCAGCAGGGACCGGACCCCAGGCCAGACGGACCCGGAAUAGAAGAAGCACUUAAUGACAGCCUUCAUGACACCAUAUUCAUGCUAAUGACAGGUGUCACGUCAUAAUAAUGACAGUGUAAUGUUGGCCUUUAUGAAUAAAACUUUAAGUGUUACCUAAAAUGUAAUCA
ensembl:lncRNA MAR-binding filament-like protein 1